GACCUAUGGCUUAGUUGGUAACGCGCCUUGUGCCUGGUACAUUGCACGUGAUGUCGUGUGUUCGAAUCUCAUUCGGUGCA